CAUCAAAAACUUGUCUCCUGUUUACAGUUAAGCAUCAGUAAAUGUGCUUGAGUGCUGGGACAUCAGCAAGAUUGCAACACGAUAACAAGUGCCGGGAUGAUUCACCACACACUUAAGACCAGCCUCGUUUCCUCCCCAGCUCAAGGGGAUGGGAUCCCUCUGCUCUGGUGGCAGAUCUUCAAGAGGGAGGGGCAGCCUGCACUUGUGGUCCAGAAAAGGAGACUAGCUGAAGCAAAGACUGCGUGAAACUAUGCUGUGCGCUCUUCUUGGCCUUCUCCUGGGUACUUCCUUAGGUGCCAGAGCUCAGACAGUCCAUCAAUGGCCGGCUACCAAGGUGCAGCCUGUGGGUAGCCCCUUCUCUCUAGAGUGCACUGUGAAGGGGAAAUCAAACAUCAAUCUAUACUGGUACCGGCAGGUGGCAGGAGGGGCCCUCCAGCUGCUCUUCUACUCCAUCACCGUGGGUGAGGUGACCUCUGAGGCGGCCCUCAACUUCUCAGCCUCCAGACCCCAGGACGGCCAGUUCAUCCUGAGCUCUAAGAAACUGCUCCUCAGUGACUCUGGUUUCUACCUCUGUGCCUGGAGUCUCACAAUGAACCAGGCUGGGCAGACAUCUGUGCAAAAACCCCAACCCUCCCUGAGUCCUAAGCACUCUUCCCUGGGCACUCGGUGAGGUACUGGGUGGAGGGUGUUUUUGACUGGGCUUCUAGCUGCCAGCCAAGGCGAGAUCCAGGAAUCAUUGAGAGUCAAGCCAGAAUUCUCCAAAGAACUUUAGUAAGUUCUUCAUAAAAAAAAUGUAUGUGUAUAGAACCUAAGAUUGCCUAUACAUACUCCAGUUUCCUCAGUGUGGAUGCCUAGGUCAUCAUACCAUUCCUUGAAGUUUGUUAUUAUUGCCUAAUAUCCUGU